GAGUUUGAUCAUGGCUCAGGAUGAACGCUGGCGGCGUGCCUAACACAUGCAAGUCGAACGAAGCGAUUUUGCGGAAGUUUUCGGAUGGAAGUAAAAUUGACUGAGUGGCGGACGGGUGAGUAACGCGUGGGUAACCUGCCUCACACCGGGGGACAACAGUUAGAAAUGACUGCUAAUACCGCAUAAAGCGCACAGUACCGCAUGGUAUGGUGUGAAAAACUCCGGUGGUGUGAGAUGGACCCGCG
rnacentral:rRNA from 1 species